GGCAGCUGCCUUUCCCUGCUGUUUGCAUCUAGAUCUAUUUUUUAAUACAAAGUGACGACAUUACACUCCUCCAGUGGGAAAACUAAGGUCCAAAAAUUCAUCUCCCACGACAUCCCGGGGUAAUUGGGUAAAGCAGUACAGCUGAUCCUCUUAUCAGAACAAAGACACAAAAAACCCUUCAUUGCUGGCUGGGAUUAAACAACAUUAUCCUAUUGAACAACUUCUUGCCCAGCAAGCAGGCUCUCAUUGCUUCACAAGAAGUGCAGACAUGCAGACAUCUGCCUUUUUUUUUCCUCAAGCAAGAACAGGUAGGACUCUGACUGUCAGGGCUUCACAUACAAAGGUCCCAAUCCCAGACUAGGCCCACAAUCCAAUGGACCUCCACAGCUGUGGGACUGCUCUCAAAACCAUUAGUUGAUGAAAAAAUCCCCCCCCAAAAAGUAUUAAGAUGUUUUUGCACUUAGGUAGGUGGUUUGUAUGUUUGUUUGUUUGUUUUUGUUUUACUUUCUGCUCUUUGAGCACUCUGGAAAAUGCAAAGCUUCUCCUCAAACACUGCAGCUGUUUUAUGUAAGUGAAAACCUAAUGUUCUCAGAUAAGCAUUACUCUGGAGCGUCAGCAUGCAUAUUUAAAGGUGAUGAAGUGCCAACACAAUACUAAGAAUUAGUACUGUGUAUUGCUGUGUAACUCACACUGACUAGUUCCUGACUUACCAUGUAAUAUUGAUGAAAUAGGCAAAACUAAUUUAAGCAGAAAAAUGCUCCCCAGGAUAUAUAAGAGUUACAAAACCUCUCUCCAAGUAGACAGGAAGUAGUGGGCAAGCAUGUCAAUUUUAUGUGUCCAUAAUUUUAAGUAUCUUGCAGUGAAAUGUAACUGGUCCUUUACAGGCAAUCAACAAGACCAAAAUAUUAAAAAUUCUUAAAUAAGAUGAAGUCUGGAGACCUUGAGGUUCUAGUUAAGAGUACUCUAGUUCUUCACCAUACUAAUUCCUCUUCUACAGAAACAGAGACCACAGUGUAGAAAGCAAACCCACUGCCCAUCCUUACACAGCUCACACUAGUAGUAGUAGUAGUAGUAGUAGUGCAGUCCUAUCAAAGUUUGCAGUGAAGUGUGAAUUUUUAGUUACUUUGAAUUGCAUUUCCUCUGGGAUACAAAUAUAGCAUCUGAGUAAUCUAAACAAUAAUUUAAGAAUUUGGCUGCUAGUGCUAGCUUCUACUGCUUGUGUUUAAAAACAAGAAAACAUCUUGUAGCAUAAAAGAAGGAUCUAGUUAAAUGCUGUUAUUUUUUUUCUAUCUAAUGUUCACUUAAAAUGUGCUUAUAAUUAUGUUGAAGGGAAGAAAGCCAAGUAGAAUUACUAAGUUAAAUAUCUGAGGUGGAGAAAAACUUCCGUGCCCUCUAGGGGUCCUUAGAGAUACGAAAGACACAAGAGAGUGCAUGCAAAUUACGAAUAUUUCAAACACAGCCACUUUUGAUUAUAAAUAUAAAUCUAGGUUCUCUCACCCUUAUUUUCACUUUGCUUUUUUGUUCCCAGAGACAGAACACGUGCUCCCCGUUCUCGGCUCCUUCUUGCCAACCACUCUGAGGAGCCAGUCCAAAGCCCCAAUUACCCCUCCUGACAGCAGGGCCAGGAGGGGCAAACCUCUACCUGCUCUUCAGCUGUUCCACUUCAAAGGUACGCUGAUGCCGUGGGUCUGCCUUCAUCAGCAGUUAAAAUUAUGUGUAACGCUAUUGUGGCCAUGAAGGUACAGGAACCCAUCCCCCCGUGAUCCUCACGUUCAGGAGAAGGAGGGUGGAGCAAAUAGCUGGAGAGUUUGUAGAACUCCGACGCAGGAUUCACCAGCACCCACAAGGCAGAGCUCACAAAGCAGCACCCAGACUUAAAAGCAUUGCUCUCUGCCACAGGCACCAAUGAAUUAACAGGAAUCUGCAAGUAAUCCCCUGUAUUACACACUGAUAAACAUGUCACUUGUGACUGUAUCAGCGGAGACAUUAAAAACAAAACAAAAAAAGAUGACUUUGAGGCUGACUUUCAUCAUUCCACCAGACCUUUACAUCUCUUUGUCUCCACCUUAAAAAUCAAGCUAAGCAGUCGUUCUGACAAUUUAUGCAAUUAGCAGUUUUAGAUAAAUAAUACUUUUUAGAGCGAAAGGAAGGAAUUCUGUGGUAACAAAGCAGGAAAUUUUGACAGCUCAUUGUGUUCCCAAAUGAAACGGGCAGGGUGAAGGGAAAUGGUCAGGGUACAGAUUCUCCUUGACUGCUUUGGGCUGAAGAUGCAGGGCUGGAACAUCUGCAGCUGCAAACACCAGGGCCUGCACCCUCACUGGUGCCAAGCUGCCACGAGAGCUUCCAGCAGGGAGACCUCCCAGGGGCUGCUGUGCUCUUGAAUUUUACUUUGUCGUUGUUAAAACAAACAAGAACACAAGCCAAAUAAACCAAAGCAACCCGUUUAAGGAGCCAGUGCUGUGACUGACACGCAUGGCAGAUCACAGGGACAAGAAAAUCAUCUACAGGGCAAGAACCACUGCACUACUAUAGCAUCAAGGGCACUUCAAGAUGGUUCAGAAGGGUUAAGAAAAAAAUGAGGCAGCUCUUAACUGCCUUUCACAUCUGGAGGAAAGAGCCAUCUGCACCGAGGAAAACAACUUCUCCAAGACUUGCCUGAAACAGCGUGCGAUUCAAUUUCACCGAGCAAGCACAACAAAUUAGGAAAGAAAACAGGCCCAUAGCUGUGACAAAACAACAGAGCAGCUUCAUCCAGCAGAAGUCAGGACCAACCACCAAAUUAUUGAUUCUAUUUAGUACACAGCUCCAUGUGGUAAAUCUGGAAUACCACAGCAAAUUCACAAGAGGUUACAAGUAUUUAUUGCAGUCAAGCUUUCUUACAAUCUUCAUUCCAGUAUUGCUUAAGUUGACUGUUCAGAGUACAUACUGCAGUGGCUGACAACUUUCCAUGGAAAACCAAGUGGAGUAGUAAGGCCUCCUGUGGAUUCCAUGGAGCCCAUGGCCCCUCCACUAUUUCAGUUAUGAAAAGGCUUGGGAUUUCUGACCUGAGGAAGAGGGCUUGAUGAUGUUUUAAGCAUCAAUCUGGUUCUAGUGAAAAGGUUUCUAAAAGAGAGAAGCAUUGCUCUGUAAAAGUAGCAAACUCAAAUGAAAAGCUAUGUUAAAAGUGAGCACCAGAAUUACUGGAAUUAUAUUUUUAUUUGAAGACAUCAAUACUUGUUCAUGGUGAUUCAGGCUGGUUUGGAUUAUUUUCAUUCUGUUGUAUUAGUGCUAUAAGUGUUACUGUAAAUUCUUUUUUGUCGAAGGCAUUUCAUAAAGAUUUCUCACGUGCAUCAGAUCUUCUGAACAAAGCCAUUUCCUCUGAACAGACACAAAGAGACUGAUUUAAGGGUUACAGACUCAGGAUGACUCCCCUUUGCAGAAGGAGAAACUGCAGCAGCCACCUCACUUCAUUCAUUUGUAAGCACUGAAUUUUUAAACAUGUAAACAUUCCAAAAUGUAAGUUUUUCCGUGCUGUAUGCUGGAUGAUUCUACUAUUUCUGGUAGUAGUCCUAAUGAGCUCAUAAGUAUAGAUUUCAUCCAAUGUAUUCUGUAGUUUUGUUUCAAAAUGCUCUGCAAAGGAAAGUAAUUGAUGGUACUCCCUUUUUACAAAAAGAGCAUAAAAUGAUGAUGUAGAAACUGUAGUUCAGUUUUGUAUAUGUGUUUUACACAGAAAAUGACUUAAUUUCCCUUGCAGUGGUCCUACCCUGUGCAUGAAUUAUUUUUAUUUAUUUAUUACCAGUCAAUUACUUGACAUUCAGCUAUUAAAAAUUCCUUUUCCAGCUGCAGAUGAGACAUUUCACACGUGUUCUGUUUUCUUAGUGCUCUGAAGUCCAUGGUUGUUCUUAUGUUUAACAAGAACUACUGAGACUGUUUUACUGUAUCUGCCAGCACUAAUUUCUGCCCUCCUUUACUGAUCAAAAUCCAUACCACAGCUGUAUCUUAACCUACCAUAAAGUACCAUCACCACUCCCUAUCACUAAAUCCCUAUCACUCCCAGUUAGUAAAAUGCAUGAAAGAGAAGCUGACAGUCUGUUCAUAAAGCCCUUCUCAAUGCUGGAAUUCUCCUGGUAUGUCUUACCUGGAUAGAGAGGAAGACCCAAGGAUCCACAGGCAUACCUUUAACAGCCGUCCAUUCUGACAAAUGAACAAGUUAAAUGAGUAUUUUACAGCCACUCCAGAAAUCCUCUCUUUAACCAUAUCAUAUAACACCAGUGACUGGUGAAAAGACUGAACUGAUGAAUCUUGAGACAUAGCUCUUAAAACUUGCAGACUUUGGAAAGAGUCCUUGCAGACAAGUGAAAACCAAAAGGAUGCAAAAACUGCCAUCGAGAACCAGAAAACAGCAGUCAUCAGCAACUGAGAUAUUGAAGCAGCACCCACAUUUCCCCCUUCAUAGACCUGCCUGCUCUUGCAUGAGCACAUGUAGAGCAACACUUACAUCUGACUGUAAAAGUGGCCAGAGUCGACUGACAGACAUCAGCCCUCCAUUUCAUGAGCAAACAAAGGUAGGUUUCCAAAACAUCAAUGUGUUAUAUUGCACUGGCAAUUCUUUCACUUGUUUUUGAGUUUGAUAAUGGGCUACGAAUUAUUGCCUCAAGGUCAAACGUACUUCACACCCUCGUAGGUCUAAAUGAGUGAAGUAGGUGCCUCCACCCAGUGACUAAUGCUUCAAGAGAUUUUCAAAGACCCAAGAUGUUUCUGACUGAUGCAGAUGGAGUCUAAGACCCUUUUCCUGAAUUAGGUGCCACGAUUAUAAGCAGAGCAUGAGGAGGGAAGAAUCCAAGACCUCACCCUUGAGGACUGCAUUCAGAAAAGUGAAACCACACCAAACCCCUUAGCUAUGGGUAUGCCUUUCACUGUGAUUAUCCCUGGGACUAUUUGGUAAGAAACAGAACAGAUACAUGCACCUUUGGUUCACACCAAUGUAGGCACACCCUCAAAACACGUAUGUACUGUGUACACUCAUACAGUGUAGUAUUAUCCCACAGCUCAGUUAAACAAAAAACAGCACUUGUUACGCAACAGCCAUCGGAGUGCUGUUCUGGAUAAAACACAAUAACUUAUCUCUUUGAUUCUACUGCAUGAUGUCUCCUUAACUUUCAGUAUUUUCUAGAUAUUUUCUAGUAUUUCUAGAUAAAAUACAAAAGUUUAUAUAAAAGUUUACAUUAAAUGCUAAACCACUGGACACGAAUACAGCGAGGAGCAUAAGAAUGGGCAAUUUGCACAGCCUGCUUAAUUAGGAACAUUUCCUUUUGAAGACAUGAGAGAUUCAGAUAUAGGAAGGUACCUGCCAGUACAAAUUUUGUAAAAUUCAGCCAAUGGCUUUCACAUGCACAUAAAAAGAUAGACAAGUGUUGCUAUCUAGCAGGAAAGGAUAGGGAGUUAUAGAAAUAAGGUCAGGAGACAGGUCUUGAAAAUAAGAAUCCAACAAGAGAGAAUGCUGUAUAAAUACAGCAUUUCAAGUGCAGAAGUCAUCUAUCACCACCUCCAUACUUGAAAGGCAUGGUUUGGACAACCACCUUGACUUUGGUAAAUAUUUUCCUUGCACUGUAUUUUAAAGACCAAGCCAUCUACUAUUUAGAGGGGCUGAUGGUAUCUUGAGAGUCUCACAGCUGGGAUCCCAAAUGGAAGCACUCUGGCUGACUUCAGGCUUACCAUACUGCUGCUGCUCAGCAGGGCCGGCCCAGUAACAGAGGUCCUGGGAUAUUCUGAAGCAGACAGGAUCCUCCAAGGAUCCUAGGAACCACCUGUCUGUAUGUUUUGUAUGGUGUUAUUGGUCGGGCAUUUCUGUCUCCAUAUUGAUCACUGACUUUACAGGGAAAAGUGGAUGUUAAUAUAGAUAUGGCACUGAACUGUCUUGAUAAUCUUUUCUUCCUAUAUAGUUUGAUGGUUUGUAAAUGUCUCUGCAUUAGAGGACAGGAGCCAUGUCAGCAGAAUCAGGUUCUUGCAUUGCUAUCACUCCUUUUACUAUAGAGCCCUCCUGCCAAAUGGCAAAGCUUACUGGUUUUCCUAAAAAUGAAAUUGAAUUGUAACAAACACCUUAAAAACUAGACGAUAAAAAGCUGUAAUAAAAGUGAUAACAGCUACCGCAUAGUCUCAGCAACAGGUAGUAGGUUGCAUUACCAUGGCAACUUUGAACAUAAAAUCCUACUGUCAUGCUACUCCCAUCCCUCUCCCAAGUAAACUGCAGCAUAAAUAAAAGAACAUUAUUACUUAUUCAAUUUGAAAUUUUGUGAUUCUAGUCUUCAGCCAGUAUCUCAACUACUGAAAUAAACAUUUAUUUAAUAACAAACUUCUAAGACAUCUGCACUCCCAAUUCCAAGUCAUUAGGCUUUCAUUUUGUGUAAAAGAAAAAGAUCUGUUUUUUCUAAGACCAAUGCCAAAAAGAGGUAUAGAAUUCAAAUCUCUAUGCAGAGUGCAAUAGGUGAAGCCAUUUCUGUUGCCAUUCCCCAAAGAUAAAGAUUUUCUUCUCUCAUGAAUACAUCAAAACCCUAAGUUAUCCUGAAUAUAAAUUACAUUUUCUUAACUCUAAUAGCAUUCUAGAUACAGACACUUUUUCAGAGACCCUUUUGUAUUUGCCUAUGUAUUGUAACUUCAGACUGAAUUCUUUCAAACAUCUACAUCUUAUUUUAUUAUAUGGAUUUCUGACUUGAACAUUGUUAAUGCUUUAAAUGCUUCUAGUGUGAGAACACAAUUGGACUCAUUGAAUCCACCAGCGAGAGUUUCGCAGUUGAAAAACAGAUUCUUUUUCUGCAGAAAGCUGAGCUAAUUGUCCAGCAUUUAUUCAACCAAAUCUGCUUUACAUUUCUGCAUUCUCAUUUCUCACCCACCAAUAAUAUUUGUUAAGGGAUCUCUUAAAAUAACUUUUCAUUUUUGUUCUGCAAGUUCUUCAAGAACUUAUAUGUAAGUAUACACACAUAAUGGGUUGCACUGACUGAGCCACAAGAUAUGAUUCUCAUUUUCUGCUAAGGCACUAUUAUGUUGGCAAGCAGGAAACAUUUGCUAUUACAAUCCAUGUAAAUCUAGCAAAGCCAUUGCUUAAAAUUUUAUACAUUAUAUAUAACUAAUUUAUGUAAAAUAGCAGUCGAUAUAAUGACAUAAAUAUUAAUGAAAAAAUGCUGUUCAUUCUAAAGUGGAAUAGAACAUUUUUUUCAAAUGUUCAGAAAUUUGGUAUUAGUAUUUUUUGUUUCUGAGAAAGAUAAGGCAUGCUUGGAAAUAAUACACAGGAUGACAAUCAUAAGCCCUGAGCUCAUUUCCUGGUUUCUUAUGGAACAAACUUUUCUUUCCAUGCCUCAGUUUUCCACUGCUGUGUUUUGUUUGUUCUGAGUAGACAGCGAGUUCUCUAAUGCAGGGCCUCGGCGCUUCCACAGCAUUUUCUACCUGCAGUUCUGGUCCUGGUUUCUACAUUACCACAGUUCAAACACUAAUUAUCUCUGCUUUUUUUACAACCAACAGCUAAGUUAGACAACACAAUAGAAAAUGAAUGCACAGGGGUUUACUGGUGCCAUUAAAUCAAAAUAUGCUUUCAACUCUUUAACGUGACACUUAAGAAAAUUUCCCUCUAUUUCCACAGCUUUGCCCACAAGAUUUCUCCACCCUCUCUUUCCCAUUAAACUACAAAAGACACAUGUUUAAAACCAUAAGUAGUAAUACAGCAAUUGCCAUUGACUACUUUUGAAACACCUAACAUUAGCCAAAACCUCAAGUCUAUCAACACUUUUCACAGAACAGAAGCCUGUGGAGCCAAGCAGGAAAAGCACAAGCCCCUCUGAAUUUGCUCCCCUCUGAUUUUUGUGCUGAAAUUGCACGGCUGCCAUUUCCCUCACACAAGGAGACUGAGUCUCUGCUGAUUCAGUCUGUCUCACCAUAUCUAACCUGUGGUGCCUGCUCAACCCUUUAAGGUGCAGCAGUACAACGCUGGAGAGGAGCGAGGCACAAUAAACUUAAGUUGUCUCAAUCUUCUGCAUUGACCACAGGAUGAUCCUUCUUUGUCAGUCUCUGCAUGUUCUUCAUCUCCUCUUUUCCAGCUCUGCUCUGCAUCACACACACACACACAAAUAUAUGUAUAUAAAUAUAAAUAUAUCCCUAAGUCUAAAGUGACCCUUCUUCCCUGCCUCUGACCAGCAGUAAUUCGGCCUCCCCUUUGCUCCCUGCCCUUUCCUGAGGCUGGAGUGCUGUGCAGUGCUCCAGUAAAAUCCAGCCCAGCAGCUCUGGCCACUUUUUCUUCACCACGGGGAUACCCCAAGGGUCUUCCAGGCUGGAGAGAGCAAUGUCAGGGAGAAGGAGGAAAAGGAACUGAGCACUGGCUUGGCAGCACAUGGAGGUGCCUGUUACAUCUUGCAGGAGAAAACUUCACUCACGACCUGAAGCUCUGCUCUGAUUAAAAGCUUUAUCUAUAGGAGAGAGUGCAGGAACAGAUGUCUUGAGGUUAAUAAUUUGAAUUCUUUUUGUACAUUAUAUACUAC